AAAAAAGGAAUAGAAAUAGAAACAAAAUAGGCAAAACGAAAAGCAGGGAAAGAAAGAAAGAAAGGAGAAAAGAAAGAAGAAAGGAAAAUUGAAGGUUUGAAGCUUGACGUUUAAAUAGCUAACAUAGCGCAGGAAAUGUCAUUGAAGAAGGGGAAAGAGAAAGUGGACGAGGAUAUCGAGUAAACUCGAGAAUUACGGUUUGUAUUUUUAUAAACCGAAUUUAAUAAUUAUUUGUUGAAUUUAUUAUUUAUAUGAAUGGUAAGUAUUAUUAUUAUUAUUUUGGUAUUGAAUUGAAUAAAAAAUUCAUGAAUUAUUAGUGAUUAUUGAUAUUGAAUAGAAUAUGUAAAUAUUGAGUGGAAAAUUGAAAAAUGUAUAUUGCAUUGAAAUUGAUAUAGAAAAA